UACGUAGGUGGCAAGCGUUGUCCGGAUUUACUGGGCGUAAAGAGCGCGCAGGCGGUCGUUCAAGUCGCGUGUGAAAUCCCCGGGCUCAACCCGGGAACUGCGUCCGAUACUGGGAGGCUUGAAUCCGGGAGAGGGAUGUGGAAUUCCAGGUGUAGCGGUGAAAUGCGUAGAUAUCUGGAGGAAUACCGGUGGCGAAGGCGGCAUCCUGGACCAUUACUGACGCUGAGGCGCGAAAGCUAGGGGAGCAAACGGGG
rnacentral:rRNA from 1 species